AUCCACCACCUGGUCCAUAUAGAUGAGUACGCGUGUGUGUUUGUGUGCGUGUGCAUCACAACGGCAUGUCUGGCACGGAACCGAAGCCUACUUUCCCAGCCAACAGUGGAUGGUGGAAAUUGACGCCCGACGGAACAGAUGAUUGGGAACCACUGUGUGGCAACCAGCGGAAAACUGACGGCACCAACCGUUCAACGCAGCCUCACAGCUUCACAGAGAUCGUAGCAACCCAUCGAUGGUCGCGGGUCGCAGGUCACCAACAUACACAAUGCAGCUUCACCAGCCGACGAAGGAUUCUACCGCCAGAGGGCUGCUGCUACCCCGAAAACACCGAACUGUAUACACGCACGCACGCACACACAUACACACACAUGCACGCACACGCACGCCAGCCGAAAGGGAUGAGGGAGUUGGGAGGUCAGCGAACCAAAAUAUUGCCUUCGAAAUGCCUGUCACCGCUCGCAGGGAAGCUGGAGGGCGAGCGAACCGGAGACGAGCGGGGUACGACGACGCGUCGUUGUCUGCCGGACGAGAGCAGGCGCUGGCUGGAAAUGUACAGCUCCAGGCUCCCUCCCUCCCCCCGUUUCAUCGAUGUGUGACUCCUACC